rnacentral:rRNA from 1 species
UACGUAGGUGACCAGCGUUGUCCGGAUUUACUGGGCGUAAAGAGCGCGCAGGCGGUCGUUCAAGUCGAGUGUGAAAGCCCCCGGCUCAACUGGGGAGGGUCACUUGAUACUGAUCGACUCGAAGGCAGGAGAGGGAAGCGGAAUUCCCGGUGUAGUGGUGAAAUGCGUAGAUAUCGGGAGGAACACCAGUGGCGAAGGCGGCUUCCUGGCCUGUUCUUGACGCUGAGGCGCGAAAGCUAGGGGAGCAUACGGG